rnacentral:rRNA from 1 species
CUGUCACCGUAAGGGCAAGGGUUCCUUGACAAUGUAGAUCAGUCAAGGGUAAGUCGAUCCUAACCGACUUCGUAAUUCGAACAUUCGGGAAAGGGAAACAGGUUAAUAUUCCUGUACUUUUAGAGUAUGUGUGGUGACACAAGUUUUAUUUCUGACACUUUUGGAUAGGCGGACAAGUAUUGUCGUACUUGUUAAUAAAUGUAAGCCAAAGGAGUAACGUAAUGUUGAGAAUUUGGUUAAAGUUUAGAAUAGUGGACUUUUAGUUCAUUCUGUCGAUUCCUGGAGUCCGUGAAAAGGGAAUAAAAAAAGAUCUUUAAAAUUCGUACCCAGAACCAGCACAGGUGCCCCUAGGUGAGAAGCCUCAGGUGUGUAGGGAAAAACUAGUUAAGGGAAUUCGGCAAAUUAGCCCUGUACCUUCGGUAUAAGGGGUCCCUACUUUUGUAUCCGUACGGUUGCAAUUGUAGGGCUUGGUGACUAAGGUAGUCCGACUGUUUAACAAAAACAUAACCGACUGCGAGCCAGUAAUGGUGUGUAUAGUCGGUGACGUCUGCCCAGUGCCUGUACUUGAAACUCCUUUUCAAGGGAGCUAAGAGCUGGUAAACGGCGGGGGUAACUAUAACUCUCUUAAGGUAGCGAAAUGCCUUGCCGUUUGAUUGACGGCCUGCAUGAAUGGCGUAACGAGAUUACCACUGUCCCUAACUAGUACCCUCCGAAAACUCUUUUUCGGUGCAAAAGCCGAAGAAUUCCAGUGGGAAGUGAAGACCCCGUGAAACUUUACUGUAGCCUGUAGUUGUGAUGUGAGAUUCAUUAUAUAGCGUAAAUGGGAGUCGCUUGAAGCAAAGUCGCCAGAUUUUGUGGAGACGUCAAUGUAACACCAUUUUUUGAAUUUUGCAUCGCUCGACCAUAAAAUUUGGGACAUCUGCAGGUGGACAGUUUGGCUGGGGUGGCACGCCGUUGAAAAGGUAUCAAUGGCGCCCAAAGGUUGGCUCAAACGGGUCAGAAAUCCGUUGUAGAGUGCAAGAGCAAAAGCCAGCCUAACUGGGAUCGUAACAAGAUCGAUCUCAGUAACGAAAGUUAGGUCUAGCGAUCCAUCAAUUCUCCUUGACUGGGGGUUGGUGUUGACCAAAAAGUUACUCCGGGGAUAACAGAGUUGUCGCGCCCGAGAGCUCGUAUCGACGGCGCGGCUUGCUACAUCGAUGUCGGCUCUUCCUAUCCUGGUGCUGCAGAAGGUGCCAAGGGUGGGGGUGUUCACCCAUUAAAAGGGAUCGUGAGCUGGGUUCAGAACGCUGUGAGGCAGUUUGUUUAAUAUCUACUGGAAUUGUUUAUAGUCUGAGAGGAAGGAUCACUUAGUACGAGAGGAACGGUGGCUCGGCGCCUCUGGUGGAUGGAUUGUUCGAUAGGGCAUGUCCAGCAGCUACGCGCCACGAGGUAAGUGCUGAAAGCAUCUAAGCACGAAACUCCCCUCGAAAAGAGACUUGAGAGCUCCUAUAGAAGAUAGGUUUGAUAGGACUGGGGUGUAAGAAUCGAGGCAACGAGAUUUUUAGCCCGCGGUUACUAAUCGCUCGUAUUUGUGUUUU